UGCAGUCACUUUCAGGGUGAAAGAAGGCAAGGUAGGAAGUAGCCUAGGGAUAUAGUAGCAAGGUUCGGGACUGUGCAGACCAUGACUGCUUGCUGUAGGGUCUCUGGACUGGAACACAGUGAAAAGGGCAGGCCUGGGUUCCCCUUCCAGUCACUGGGUUGCACUACUCUUAAGGGGAAGUGGGUCCCAAAAGACUUUGGGGGCAUACAACCCCCACCUCCAAAGGGAAAACCACAGUGACUUGGCCAGAGGGUCAAGCUACAAAGCAGGUGUGGUUGAGUACUGAGAGAGCAAGAGUGAUGGAAUGCAACCUCAGAAAGGUGCAUUGACCUGGCAGAGCUAAUCCCCAGAUGUGGCAAGAAGGAGACGCUCCAAUGGUUUAUAAUGGAUAAAAUCUGAAGAUGCAAAGGGCAUGUGGUUAUACAAAUUUAGCAUGGCUGACCAGGUCAAGACCCAACAUAUGGAGCUCAAAGCACAGGGCUGCUUUGACUCCUCAGGUGGAGGAUAACUCAGGGGUUCGUGCCCCCUCUUUACAGUCCAGUCAACCUUUGAAAUGUAUUCUUCUGAAAUGUAUCCCCAGAUAAAGUUCCUUUUUCCUGCUGGGCGUAGAUGCCAUGUUGUCUGGUGUAGACUCCAUGCUGAUUUCUCCGCUGCCAGUGAUUUUCACAAUGCAAAUGAUCUCUUCCUGCAACCACCAAUACAAAUGAAUAGCCCACUGAAUUUGGC